rnacentral:rRNA from 1 species
CGAUUAGCCAUGCUAGUCGCACGAGUUCAGACUCGUGGCGAAUAGCUCAGUAACACGUGGCCAAACUACCCUUCGGACCACCAUACCCUCGGGAAACUGAGGCUAAUAGUGCAUACCACACUCAUCCUGGAAUGACGAGUGUGCCAAACGCUCCGGCGCCGAAGGAUGUGGCUGCGGCCGAUUAGGUAGACGGUGGGGUAACGGCCCACCGUGCCAAUAAUCGGUACGGGUCAUGAGAGUGAGAACCCGGAGACGGAAUCUGAGACAAGAUUCCGGGCCCUACGGGGCGCAGCAGGCGCGAAACCUUUACACUGCACGACAGUGCGAUAAGGGAAUCCCAAGUGCACAGGCAUAGAGCCUGUGCUUUUGUGUACCCUAGGGCGGUGUACGAAUAAGGGCUGGGCAAGACCGGUGCCAGCCGCCGCGGUAAUACCGGCAGCCCAAGUGAUGGCCGAUCUUAUUGGGCCUAAAGCGUCCGUAGCUGGCCGCACAAGUCCAUCGGGAAAUCCACCUGCCCAACAGGUGGACGCCCGGUGGAAACUGUGUGGCUUGGGACCGGAAGGCGCGACGGGUACGUCCGGGGUAGGAGUGAAAUCCCGUAAUCCUGGACGGACCACCGAUGGCGAAAGCACGUCGCGAAAACGGAUCCGACAGUGAGGGACGAAAGCCAGGGUCUCGAACCGGAUUAGAUACCCGGGUAGUCCUGGCCGUAACAAUGUCUGUUAGGUGUGGCUCCCACUACGAGUGGGUGCUGUGCCGUAGGGAAGCCGCUAAACAGACCGCCUGGGAAGUACGUCCGCAAGGAUGAAACUUAAAGGAAUUGGCGGGGGGAGCACUACAACCGGAGGAGCCUGCGGUUUAAUUGGACUCAACGCCGGACAUCUCACCAGCAUCGACUGUAGUAAUGACGACCAGGUUGAUGACCUUGUCCGAGCUUCAGAGAGGAGGUGCAUGGCCGCCGUCAGCUCGUACCGUGAGGCGUCCUGUUAAGUCAGGCAACGAGCGAGACCCGCAUCCGUACUUGCCAGCAGUACUUCACAGUAGCUGGGGACAGUACGGAGACCGCCGUGGCCAACACGGAGGAAGGAACGGGCAACGGUAGGUCAGUAUGCCCCGAAUGUGCUGGGCAACACGCGGGCUACAAUGGUCGAGACAAAGGGUUCCUACUCCGAAAGGAGACGGUAAUCUCAGAAACUCGAUCGUAGUUCGGAUUGUGGGCUGCAACUCGCCCACAUGAAGCUGGAUUCGGUAGUAAUCGCGUU